AACAUGGACACCUUCUUAAUUAUGCACCAUUAAUGAUGUUCUAACUGCAGUUGGGGACGCUGCAGUUUUAGUCCUCGCUUUAAUUCUGUGCUGUGUCGUAGAGAGCAUUAAUGAGCCCAGGAAUUCUCAAAGGUCAUAAUCUGAAUAUAUUUCCUUUCCUUCUUUUUAGGGCAACAGGAAUGGAUUUAAAACAAUGAAAAUGAAAUUUACUUCAUCAUUUGCUUAACAAUAGCCUCACCCAAAUUAGACUGAGCCUCUCCACUAGAUUCAAGAUCCAGGUGGGAACGUGGAAACAAAACUCAGAAGGACUCUCAAAAGGGACUUGUGGCAAAAAGGAACUUCUGGGACCACGGGGAUGGCUCAGUGGGCAUGGGCUCCUGCUGUUGAGCCUGAGAGUCACUUGGUGGAGCGCGAAAACCAAUUCCUGCAAGUUUUCUUCUGAUCUCCAUGUAUG
rnacentral:lncRNA from 1 species